rnacentral:rRNA from 1 species
GACGAACGCUGGCGGCGUGCUUAACACAUGCAAGUCGAACGGCAACGCCCUGCUUUUUUGCUGUUCCCGAGUGGCGAACGGGUGAGUAACACGUGAGUAACCUGCCCUUGACUUUGGGAUAACUUCAGGAAACUGGGGCUAAUACCGUAUAGCAGCUCCUGUUGCAUGGUGGGCGUUGGAACGUUUCGGCGGUCGGGGAUGGAUUCGCGGCUUAUCGGCUAGUUGGUUGGGUAGUGGCUUACCGAGGCUUAGACCGGUAGCCGGCCUGAGAGGGUGACCGGCGACAUGGGGCCUGAGGUACGGAGCAGUGUGCUAUGGGGGACAGCAGUGGGAAGUCUGACACAGUGAGCGCACGUGUGAGACAGAAGCGUCGGGUUCGGAAUGACGGCCUGCGGGUUGAGAACCGCUUUAGGCUGUGACCAAGCGGGAGUGACGGUAAUGGGUAAAGAAGCACCGGCUAACUACGUG